rnacentral:tRNA from 1 species
GGGGAUUUAGCUCAGUGGCAUAAGCACCUGCCUUGCAUGCAGACGGUCGUGAGUUCAAUCCCCG